CCUGCCCUGCUCUCAGGGAGGAGCCUCCCUCUGGAAGGGCUGAUGCCAGGCACAGUGGCAAUCCAGGAGGCUUCCCUCUCCCUCAUUGCUCUCGGAAGGGACCAAUCCUCUUCUCAGGGCUCCUGCAUGCUGGCGACAUCCCAAGCCCUGCCCAGGACAGUACCAUCAGUGCAGCUCAGUCCCCUGCCCCAGCCAUUUCCAUCAAGGAGAUUCUGAAAAGGCCAUCUAUUUUAGUUUCCUGUGGUUGCCACGAUCAUUACCACAAACUUGCUGGCUUAUAACACCACAAAUGUAUCGUCUCACUGUUCUGGAGGCCAGAAGUCCAAAGGCAAGGUUUCUGCAGGGGUGUGCACUCUGAAGCUUGAGGGGAGGAUCCUUCCUCCCUCCUCCAGCUUCUGGUGGCUCCAGGUGUUUCUUGGCUUGCGGCCCCACCACUCCGAUCUCUGUCUCUGUCUUCACGUGGUCUUCUUGCCUGUGUCUCCGACAAGGACACUUGCCAUUGGAUUUAGGACCCCCUUGGCUACUUCAGGAUGAUUUCACCUCAAGAUUUUUAA